rnacentral:rRNA from 3 species
CUGGAGGUAUCAGAAGUGCGAAUGCUGACAUAAGUAACGAUAAAGCGGGUGAAAAGCCCGCUCGCCGGAAGACCAAGGGUUCCUGUCCAACGUUAAUCGGGGCAGGGUGAGUCGACCCCUAAGGCGAGGCCGAAAGGCGUAGUCGAUGGGAAACGGGUUAAUAUUCCCGUACUUGGUGUUACUGCGAAGGGGGGACGGAGAAGGCUAUGUUGGCCGGGCGACGGUUGUCCCGGUUUAAGCGUGUAGGUGUGUGUUCCAGGUAAAUCCGGUUCACUUUAACACUGAGGCGUGAUGACGAGGCACUACGGUGCUGAAGCAACAAAUGCCCUGCUUCCAGGAAAAGCCUCUAAGCAUCAGGUAACAUCAAAUCGUACCCCAAACCGACACAGGUGGUCAGGUAGAGAAUACCAAGGCGCUUGAGAGAACUCGGGUGAAGGAACUAGGCAAAAUGGUGCCGUAACUUCGGGAGAAGGCACGCUGACACGUAGGUGAAGUGAUUUACUCAUGGAGCUGAAGUCAGUCGAAGAUACCAGCUGGCUGCAACUGUUUAUUAAAAACACAGCACUGUGCAAACACGAAAGUGGACGUAUACGGUGUGACGCCUGCCCGGUGCCGGAAGGUUAAUUGAUGGGGUCAGCGCAAGCGAAGCUCCUGAUCGAAGCCCCGGUAAACGGCGGCCGUAACUAUAACGGUCCUAAGGUAGCGAAAUUCCUUGUCGGGUAAGUUCCGACCUGCACGAAUGGCGUAAUGAUGGCCAGGCUGUCUCCACCCGAGACUCAGUGAAAUUGAACUCGCUGUGAAGAUGCAGUGUACCCGCGGCAAGACGGAAAGACCCCGUGAACCUUUACUAUAGCUUGACACUGAACAUUGAGCCUUGAUGUGUAGGAUAGGUGGGAGGCUUUGAAGUGUGGACGCCAGUCUGCAUGGAGCCGGCCUUGAAAUACCACCCUUUAAUGUUUGAUGUUCUAACGUGGACCCGUGAUCCGGGUUGCGGACAGUGUCUGGUGGGUAGUUUGACUGGGGCGGUCUCCUCCUAAAGAGUAACGGAGGAGCACGAAGGUUGGCUAAUCCUGGUCGGACAUCAGGAGGUUAGUGCAAUGGCAUAAGCCAGCUUGACUGCGAGCGUGACGGCGCGAGCAGGUGCGAAAGCAGGUCAUAGUGAUCCGGUGGUUCUGAAUGGAAGGGCCAUCGCUCAACGGAUAAAAGGUACUCCGGGGAUAACAGGCUGAUACCGCCCAAGAGUUCAUAUCGACGGCGGUGUUUGGCACCUCGAUGUCGGCUCAUCACAUCCUGGGGCUGAAGUAGGUCCCAAGGGUAUGGCUGUUCGCCAUUUAAAGUGGUACGCGAGCUGGGUUUAGAACGUCGUGAGACAGUUCGGUCCCUAUCUGCCGUGGGCGCUGGAGAACUGAGGGGGGCUGCUCCUAGUACGAGAGGACCGGAGUGGACGCAUCACUGGUGUUCGGGUUGUCAUGCCAAUGGCACUGCCCGGUAGCUAAAUGCGGAAGAGAUAAGUGCUGAAAGCAUCUAAGCACGAAACUUGCCCCGAGAUGAGUUCUCCCUGAGACUUAGAGUCUCCUGAAGGAACGUUGAAGACGACGACGUUGAUAGGCCGGGUGUGUAAGCGCAGCGAUGCGUUGAGCUAACCGGUACUAAUGAACCGUGAGGCUUAACCUUACAACGCCGAAG